GAAAAUGACUCUCGACAACGGAUAUCUCGGCUCUUGCAUCGAUGAAGAACGUAGCGAAAUGUGAUACUUGGUGUGAAUUGCAGAAUCCCGUGAACCAUCGAGUCUUUGAACGCAAGUUGCGCCCGAAGCCAUUUGGUUGAGGGCACGCCUGCCUGGGUGUCGUG
rnacentral:rRNA from 1 species